rnacentral:rRNA from 1 species
CACGUAGGGCGCAAGCGUUUGUCCGGAAUUAUUGGGCGUAAAGAGCUCGUAGGCGGUCUGUUGCGUCCGCUGUGAAAACUCGGGGCUUAACCCCCGAGCCUGCAGUGGAUACGGGCAGACUAGAGGUAGGUAGGGGGAGAAUGGAAUUCCCGGUGUAGCGGUGAAAAUGCGCAGAUAUCAGGAGGAACACCGAUGGCGAAGGCAGGUCUCUGGGCAUUAACUGACGCUGAGACGCGAAAGCGUGGGGAGCAAACAGG